rnacentral:rRNA from 1 species
AUUGAACGCUGGCGGCAGGCCUAACACAUGCAAGUCGAGCGAGCGGCGGACGGGUGAGUAAUGUCUGGGAAACUGCCUGAUGGAGGGGGAUAACUACUGGAAACGGUAGCUAAUACCGCAUACCAUCAGAUGUGCCCAGAUGGGAUUAGCUAGUAGGUGGGGUAACGGCUCACCUAGGCGACGAUCCCUAGCUGGUCUGAGAGGAUGACCAGCAAAACUGGACCGAGGACAGGGCCCAGACCCCUAGGGGGGGCAGCGGGGGGAAAUAUUGCACAAGGGGGGAAAGCCUAUGACGGCCAUGCCGCGGGUGUGAAGAGGGCCUAGGGGUUGUAAAGCACUUUCAGCGGGGAGGCGUUACCCGCAGAAGAAGCACCGGCUAACUCCGUGCCAGCAGCCGCGGUAUUC